AAGAACGAAAUGAGCCCUAAUCUUCAACUAGUUGACAGCGUGCUCCAGCAUUUCUACAGCUAUAAGCGCCCUCUUUAGCAAAGAUUUUCUUCGGCUCAGAUUUCUCAGACCUUGCUCGUCCAUAAAUGGCAAUUUCUUUAUGGCGUUUUGCCUUCUAGCUCGUCCAAAUAGACGAAGUUGACCCCCUCAAACGGUUACUUCUGAUUUCCUCUCUCUUUUCCCAGUUCUUUUCACUUUUUCGGGUACAAAGCCAUUAAUGGCCUUUGUCUUCACAGAAAAAUUUCAAAAAAAUACAUAGAUAAUUCAUUUCAAAUCUAGAUUUCAAUUGAAAACUAUUUCAAAUCUGAAUUUCAUAGUCCCGCAUCGUUUUGAGACUAAAACCCUAGCCAUUUGGGGUUCUAUAAAUAGAACCCCAAUUCUUCAUUUCCAGACAAGGUUUACACACCACUACUUGGUUAAAAAAGACACCUUGAGUCUGAACUUUGAGUUCCUUGGUGUUUUAAAGUUCAAAUUUUUUUAUUUUUUUUCUUUCGAAUAUCGUCUCGUCGUGGUUGGUGAAAGGUGAUUCGUCAACUCUCGUCGGCCCCGUCGCUGCUCCGAAAAAGGUAUAGAGAGACAGACAGGUGGUCCAGCUCAGUAGGACCUCUAGAUCUAGCAGUGGUCAGUACGCUCCAUUUGAUCUGGAGCUACAUUCAGUUUUGGUAUGCCCCUUUUUGGAUGUCUAUACAUAUGGGUAUGACGGGGUCCUGUCCCGUCCUUUCUACAGCUUUUAUUCUAGUAGAGGUCUGUAGACAGUUGUAUGUAGUAGUCAGAUGAUGUAGCCUUGUCGGCUUCUAUUCUUUUGUGUACAAUAUAUGUAGCAGCCUAGCUGGCUUGCACUGUUCUUCCUCA